CCAGGUACGUACGUUCUUUUAGAGCAGAGCUAAAAUGCCGAAGGCGAAGCGCUCGAGAGUGUGGCUGUACUUCACAGCAAAAGAUAUAAACUCAGCAGCCUGCAAACCCUCUCAAGGCAGGCGUUGCAGAUUUGCAACAGUUAAAACACUAACAACCUGAUUACCCCACAUACAUAUUUUAUGAGUGGUUUUUUUUUUUUGAUAAUUUUCCCCAAAUAUCAGAUUUUUCCUGUAACUAAAACUUAAUUUGAGCCUGAGAGGGUUAAGGUAAUAAUGUGCAAAGGAGGUAACACCUCGAAUCUAAUGAAACACCUGCCGACGCAUAGCGUUUUUUUAAAAGCCGAGAAAUGCACCGCAUUUCAUGGCUUGCAGCAAGACCUCACACUGACCACAUCCACUGUGGGUGUGGUGCCUGUUCUCGGAGUUAGCAACAUCCCCCAAGAACUCAAAGAGGAGAGUCCGGGCCCUAGCCCUGUCAGUGUAGCAGAAAUGAUAACUGAUGAUGAUGAUUGCAGCAGCAGCCAUUCUGGAUACUCCCUUCACCCUGGCCAAAAAGGCUAAAAUGACCAAAGAAAAAGUGAACGAAAUUCAUAGGGCAGUGACAAAAUUAAAAGUCAAAGAUCUCCAUCCAUUUUCAACGGUGGAGUCACCAUCAUUCAGGAGAUGUCCUCUGCCCUUAAUCCGAGGUAUCAGCUCCCAUCCAGGGAUGAUCUAUCCAACACACUUAUACCUGCUUGGUAUUCCAUGGAGAAAAGCAACCUCAUCCAGAAUUUGGCACAGGUUAACAAGGUCGGUAUCACCUGUGAUGGAUGGACCAGUAUUGCUCAGGACCAUUUUCUCACAGUCACUGUUCACUACAUCUACAAAGGCAAAAUAAAGCAGAAUGUGCUUAGCACUGAAGCAGUUUAUGAGUCACAAACAGGUCCAGUUGUGGCUAAAGAAAUAUCAAGCGUUGUGGGGCAAUUUCACUUGGGAGGGAAAAUAACUGCUGCCACUAUAGACAAUGCCAGCAACAUGGAUGUUGCUUUGAAAAAUUUGGACUUUUUAAAAGUGGGAUGCUUUGCUCAUACCCUCAACCUGGCAGGACAAAAGGUGUAUGACAUUCCUGCAGUUUCCAGCUGGUGUGCCAGAAUCCGUUCAGUUGUGGUGUGGCUCAAACGUUCAUCCUUGAGCAAAACUGUGCUCAGAGAAAAGCAGCAAAUCCUGAAUUUGCCAGAGCAUAAUGUCAUUCUUGACGUUAAGACGCGCUGGAAUUCUCUCUUCCUGAUGGUGGAGAGAUUUAUGGAGCAGUUUGAUGCAAUCCAGGCAGCUGCUCUGGAUCAACGGCUGAGGAAGCCUAUGGAGAAGGACAAGCUAGAAAGGUUCAUGCACACUGAUUUAAUGAAGGCAGAGGAGUUUAUUAAGUGCAUGCAAGUCCUGUACACGUCAACCAUGUGUGUGUCAAGUGACAAGUCACCCACAUGCAGCCAAAUCAUCCCCAUCCUGGCCAAGCUGGAGGCACAUUUCAGACGAUGUGAUGAAGAUAGUGUUUUCACCUCUUCAAUAAAAGAAAGUCUGGGGUAGUCUGCAGAAAAGAUAUCAGGAUGAAAACCUUCAGAAAUUUCUGAAGGAGGCCACAAUGAUGGACCCACGUUUUAAAGGCAGGCUAGAUGGUGAGGCAGCUACUGACAUCUGGGACAGGUUGGAGAAGGCAGCAGUUGCAAAUGCCACAGCAGCAGUUGCACAGCCUCCCACCGAGGACCUCAAAGCACACAGCGAGGUGGAUGAUGCUGACAUGGACAAGCCAGAAAAAUAUGUAAUUUCAGAUUUUUUCUAACACAACCACUACAUUCUAAAAUUGAUCUUUAUUUAUUUUGCAAACCUCACACU